ACGGGUAUAGGUUAAAGGUAGACUUCUUGGUUUCCACUCAACAUGUGUCAGUGAAAAUAUGAGUAUCCGUA
rnacentral:tRNA from 1 species